AAAUGUAAGGGUGACCUGCUUGACACUUCUGUCACCUCAUUUAUGACCAGCAUUGAUUCAGUUGCUCUGACUCACUCUGCAGGUGUCCCCUUCUGCCCUCAAGGCUCCACAUUCAUCCCUCCCAAAUCCGCGUGCUUGGUCAAAGAAGACCAACAUCCCCAACAGUGGAGGGUCUUCUUCCUUCAAGGGUACACAGGUACCUUGCGUACCUGCUAGAACCUCCAAAUAAGCUCUUAAGAAUAAAUCAAGUCAUUUAUAAAUUACCUAUUCAGAUGCCAAAUUUCUUUCUUCUGGAGAUCCAUUUUGUAAAAAG
rfam:Cavia porcellus supercont2_0 genomic scaffold, whole genome shotgun sequence.